rnacentral:lncRNA from 1 species
UCUUGUACAACUUUUUCUGAAUGUCUGGAGCAGCUGAAGUAAUCACACACAUGUUGAGCACAGUGACCCCUUCAGGAGAAGAGCAGUCCAGGGAAGAAGAUAGACAUUCAGUGAAACAGGUGACUUCCAUUUAUUGCUUAUGAAAAGACCUAAACAGAAUUUGGACCUCCUUAUAUUGAAAUCAAGAGAAGCAUAAAAAGCACUAAUUCCAAGGGUUGUCAUGAGAUAAAUUAUUCUGGGAGAAAAGACGGAGCUUAAGGAGAUGUGUGUGUCCUCUUCUCCACCAUCUUGACCGGAAGUCCAAUGACAAAGAAUUUUAAUUUGGUGGGGGGUUAGUAAAUUUAUUUGUUUUUAAUACAUUUUGCUUUUUAUAAAUCUUGUUUGGAGAGAAAAUCAAAGCAAGGGGAAACAACCAUGGAAGACAAAAGAAAAAACCAAGUGAACAGUGUACAUGGAGGUUUACAUUAUAUCUCCUGAGUUCUUUUUCUGAAUACAGAUGGCAUUUUUUUGUCCACAGUCUAUUAGGAUUGCUUUGGAUCACAAAAGCAAUAGGAAGAAACUAUCCUUUCCUAUCUGAUCAUCACAAAUCCUUGCUGUUAGUUUGUACAAAGUAUUCUUCCUAUCUGUGCCACCCACAUUCUUCCCUGUUUCCUACUUCCUUCCCCUUUACUCAUAUGCUGCUUUUUUCGUCCACAG